CUGACACCCACAUACACUGAGAAAUACUGACACACACACACAGGCACAUACACUGACACACACACAGACUGAUAUACUGACACACACACACACACACAGACAUACUGGCACACAGACAGAUAUACUGACACAUGCAUACACAUGCACUAACAGACAUACUGACGCACUGACAGACAUACUGACACAUACACAUACUGACACACACAGAUAUACACACACAUAUAU